UGGGGAAUAUUGGGCAAUGGAGGAAACUCUUACCCAGCAAUGCCGCGUGAGUGAUGAAGGUCUUCGGAUUGUAAAGCUCUUUAAUUAGGGACGAAAAAAAUGACGGUACCUAAGGAAUAAGCACCGGCUAACUAUGUGCCAGCAGCCGCGGUAAUACAUAGGGUGCAAGCGUUGUCCGGAAUGACUGGGCGUAAAGGGUGAGUAGGUGGUUUGAUAAGUUGGAAGUGAAAUACCCAGGGCUUAACUCGGGUGCUGCUUCCAAAACUAUUGAACUUGAGUUUCGGAGAGGAAAAUGGAAUUCCUAGUGUAGCGGUGGAAUGCGUAGAUAUUAGGAGGAACAUCAGUGGCGAAAGCGAUUUUCUGGACGACAACUGACACUGAGGCACGAAAGCGUGGGGAGCAAACA
rnacentral:rRNA from 1 species